AAGAUGGUUGAAGGCUACCAGUCAGGAAGUAACCCUCACGCCUGCCGCUAAGGCCAUGGUGCACAGGAGGUACCCUCCUCCUUUAAGGUCUCUGGGAUCCCAAAAUGGAGGCCGCUGGAGGACAGGGCAAGAUUAUUCCUACAACCUGACUGAGAACACCAUCACCAAUCAGGAAACUGCUUAUUAACAUGCCCUGGGAGGCUAUUUCCAAGUGUAAUUACCAGGCAGAAAGCAAGCUGUCAGGUUUCUGGUGCUGUGGUGCUCAGGCUCGAGGUCAGAGAAGGAGCGCAGUGAAGGCUGCCAUUGCAGAGGGCAGCAGCGCUGGGCCCGAGCUGAGGGACAGCUGGAGGAGGCAGCCUGGGAGGUGACACGAGCUGUCAGGUGACAAGGCUGCGUGGUGGCAGGACUGUGAGGCAGUGAGGUGGCACCAGCUGUGAGGAGACAUCAACCAUGAGACACCCGGGGCUCUGAGGUUACUCACACUCUGAGACGACUCAGGCUUUGAGGCAACAUGAAUUCUGAGGCAACACAGAGGUGAUCUGGGCUCUGAGGCAUCGCAGACUCUGAGGCAACGCAGGCUCUGAGCUCCGAGUGUUGCUGUCUCAAGAAAAAAGAUUGAAGACGUGGACAAAAACCACUGGGAUCUCCCAGCACCCGCUGCUGGGCUGGAAGAAGGAAAUGCAAAGAAAAUGAUUCGGGCAGAGUUGAUGAGUGAAGGAAGAAAUUAAAUAAAGACAGACUGAGUUUUCAGUUUUUAAUGCCUCAGUCUAAGUAACUGGUCUACGGAAUCAGGAGGACUGACGUGGGAAGGACUCAGCUCGUAGAGCAUCCAUACAGACCUGGAGGCAGCAGCCGGGGCGAAACCCUCCUUUUCCCUCUUCUUCUGCUUCAUCCGCCUGUUCUGGAACCAGAUCUUGACCUGGGUUUCGUUGAGCUCAAGGGUAGCGGCGAUCUCCACCCUCCGGGCCCGGCAAACAUCCCCUCACCCCCUUAUUAUACGAACCUGCGGGAGAUCCUGCGGCAGGGAUCGGCAACGAGGAAGAUGAUGGGGGGGAAGAGGAGGAAGACGAGGAUGGA